UUUCAAGCUUUUAAAGUUUUAAAAUCUACUUUUGUAAUUGAUAUAUUAAAAUUUGUACUUUAAUCCAAACUCAAUAAAACGAGUUUAUACUCGACAUUUAGCGCCUCUCUUCUUUUAGACUUAAGCCUUAGCAACUCUCGACCUCAGUAAGUACCCUUUUAAAGGUUAAUACUUAGUGUCUGGAAGUAUCGAGUAGACUUCACAUCAUGUAUCACUUAAAGACAAUAUUCCCAUUCAAGUAUCAACCACGAUUCGAAGUGUCGGCAUCACUAAGAAAGAGAGACGUAUUGAAGCACUCAGCAUGCAUCUUCUACUAUGAAUACCACCUCUCUCAACAUGGUUUAUUUCCUUGUAUUUCUGCUUGGAACACCUACAGUAACAAUUUUUUUGCAGAAAGGUCUGGAGUUGCAUUGGAUGGGAGAUGGACCAGCUGGAACAAAAGAGGCAGAAAACAGUGCAAUUUGGUGAUUUUCAAGCAUAACAGUCUUGACCUGUUCCGGAUAGC